rnacentral:rRNA from 1 species
CCUACGGGAGGCAGCAGUGGGGGAUAUUGCACAAUGGGGGAAACCCUGAUGCAGCGACGCCGCGUGGGUGAAGAAGUAUUUCGGUAUGUAAAGCCCUAUCAGCAGGGAAGAAAGAUGACGGUACCUGACUAAGAAGCCCCGGCUAACUACGUGCCAGCAGCCGCGGUAAUACGGAGGGGACGAGCGUUAUCCGGAUUCACUGGGUGGAAAGGGAGCGUAGGCGGGCGUGCAAGCCAGGAGUGAAAGCCAGCGGCCCAACCCCGGGACCGCACUUGAAACUGUGCGGCUGGAGUGCGGGAGGGGCAGGCGGAAUUCCUGGUGUAGCGGUGAAAUGCGUAGAUAUCAGGAGGAACACCGGUGGCGAAGGCGGCCUGCUGGACCGCGACUGACGUUGAGGCUCGAAAGCGUGGGGAGCGAACAGGAUUAGAUACCCCUGUAGUC